CAUUGAUGAUAACUUACAAUUGCCAUCCGCCUGGGGACUACGAGCACCAGCUUAAAACCCAAAGGACUUGGCGGUGCUUUAGACCCACCUAGAGGAGCCUGUUCUAGAACCGAUAACCCCCGUUCAACCUCACCCUUCCUUGUUCUUCCCGCCUAUAUACCACCGUCGUCAGCUUACCCUGUGAAGGGCUAAUAGUAAGCAAAACUGGCAAAGCCCAAAACGUCAGGUCGAGGUGUAGCGUAUGGAAGGGGAAGAAAUGGGCUACAUUCACUAACUCAGUGUACACGAAUGACACCCUGAAACACGUGUCUGAAGGAGGAUUUAGCAGUAAGUAGAAAAUAGAGUGUUCUACUGAAACUGGCCCUGAAGCGCGC
rnacentral:rRNA from 1 species